rnacentral:rRNA from 1 species
UACGUAGGGACCGAGCGUUGUCCGGAAUCAUUGGGCGUAAAGAGCGUGUAGGCGGCCACUUAAGUCCUGCGUGAAAUCUUGCGGCUCAACCGCAAGCGGUCGUGGGAAACUGGGUGGCUAGAGUGCGGGAGAGGAGAGUGGAAUUCCUGGUGUAGCGGUGGAAUGCGCAGAUAUCAGGAAGAACACCGGUGGCGAAGGCGGGUCUCUGGGCCGAUACUGACGCUGAGGCACGAAGGCCAGGGGAGCAAACGGG